UACGGAGGGUCCGAGCGUUAUCCGGAAUCAUUGGGUUUAAAGGGUCCGUAGGCGGGCCUGUAAGUCAGGGGUGAAAGUUUGUGGCUCAACCAUAAAAUUGCCUUUGAUACUGCAGGUCUUGAGUCAUGGUGGGGUUGCCGGAACAUGUGGUGUAGCGGUGAAAUGCAUAGAUAUCACAUAGAACACCGAUCGCGAAGGCAGGUGACCAACCAUGUACUGACGCUGAUGGACGAAAGCGUGGGUAGCGAACGGGAUUAGAUACCCCGGUAGU
rnacentral:rRNA from 1 species